GUGCGCGCGGCAUAGCCCAUUGAGCGAGAGGAGGACACGCUGACACUGUACAUUAGCAUACCUCCAACGUUAAUGGUAUUUGGAGGAAAAAAUAUUUUUAUCCUGAACGGGAACUUUUGGAAUGUCUGUGCAACUAAAAACAUGUUGAAGGAAACGGAUCCAUCCAUUUGCAGCAAUCUGAGAUCCCUGAGGCAUUUCUCCCCAUUCUGUCCAAGAAGUUGGAUGAAUGAACAUCCACAACACUGCCAGUAAAUCUGAAACCAAAAAUAUAUUAUGCUACGAGAGCCACACCAGGGGAUCCAAACAGAUUCACAGGAAACAGGUUGGCAAGGAUGCAGGACACACCAAACUAAAGGAGAUUAGAAAUGUGAUUACUGACUGAAAGAAAGAAGAAAACUUAAGAGAAAGAAAGACGGAAAGAGAGAGGAUUGCACGUUUUCCCCUUUCUCAGUAGGGCAUCCCCUGAAUUCCUGCUACUAUGCCUGAGAGAGGGAGGGCUGAAGACAUGUCGAAAUGAACCCCUAUGACAACUCACACUUCAGGAGGGAUCUCUUUCCUCACUUCCACUUAUUGUAGGGGCUUUUCUACCGCCCCUCUGUUUGUGUGUGACAUGGGUACACCCAUGUCUGUGAUAACCUAGGACAUCAGGUAAAGACUGCGGGCCUGGUAUUCUCCUGUGUUGUGCCUUGGUUGCUUGUAAUCAGAUUGCUACAACUUAAACUCUCUCCAGAAAAGUGGUCAUGGUUUUACACUGUAAACUCUCCUCAGGAAACUGGUCAUGGUGUUACACUGUAAACUGUCCUCAGGAAACUGGUCUUGGUGUUGCACUGUAAACUGUUCUCCAGAAACCUCGUAACAUGUUUAGCAUUCUCAUGAGAGGUUAAAGACUUUGCCAGCAUUUGAAAACACAGUUUCCUUGAAAUGUGUACCGAAGGGGUGCUGAGUGUGACACUUUAACCAAGACGAGCCAACCCAUAUUUGGAUAAAACAAGGACACAGCACCUCACAUCAUAGGAUUUUGCCUCUGAAAUAACAUUUGAUCUCUAUGUUUUUGUGGACGUCGUCCACAGGUGUUUGCCCCGUGUGUUUGUUACUCCUCGCCUUUUUCACCAGAGUAGGUAAUAUGUAUUCUGCUCCUACACAUUCCCAGUACUGUUUCUGUCGAAGUGUUACAUAAAAUCAAUCCUUGCAUUAUUUUGUAUUGGGUACCUUGAAAUCCGUACACAAAAAAAGUACAAAAAAACACAAACCUUGGCG
ensembl:lncRNA